GGGAUUAAGCAGGUUAGCUGUACGUUUGUGCCGACAAUGACGAGCAAAGUCUUUGGCGAAUUCUACAAAUUCUGAAUCUGAGCCGUUCUCUGUGUGCGGGACGGACACCUCCAAACUUCUGGUUAAAUCGUCAAUCGAAUCCAACACGUCAUCGUGGGUAUUUUCUUUCAAGGCCGGUAAUUGUGGACAAACAGGAGAUUUCGAUCGAGUGGACUCAUCGGAUUGAUGGCUGAAAUGUGAAACAUCCUGCCGCCCACCUGUAGUUAUGUUUGCUCGAGAUACCUACAAACAGAAAAAAAACAAGCACACCCAAGACCAAGAUGCUAAAUAAUAACCAAGCUGUAGCGCAUGAAGACAUCACAUAUGUUGUUCAAUAAGACCCCUGUGGACUGUGUUAGCGCUAUAAAACUAACUAA